GUUUCUUUUUGUUUGCUUGUUUCUUUUCAGUUUGUGUGGGAAGCUAAUUUGCAUUCAAAGUUCCAGUUCAAGAUCAUUUGAAAGGCAGGUUUUCCUCUUAUACAGAAUUAAAUAUGCAAUGGACCUUUUCUUAACAAACAGGCUGAGAGUCUGUAAUAUACAGAUCUCCAGAUUUCAUUUAGGAGGCAGUUGCAUAUAAAAGAGAAAAAAAUGAAAUUUGAACCAUUCUUUCUAUGUAACUAUAUAGAAUAUAUAUAUAUAUGUGGUUUUUUUUUUCAGGAAAAAAAAAAAAGCAGAGGAACUGGAGGUAAAUGUGGAGACCUCUUCUACUUCAUUUCUGGACCCAGAAGUACAACAGGUCCUGGCUGUAUCAGUUCCUCACGAAUUUAUGGAUAUAACUAGUAAAAGCUGUAAAUAAAGUCUACACCAGCAAGAAGGAUGGUCUAACA
rnacentral:lncRNA from 1 species